rnacentral:rRNA from 1 species
GACGAACGCUGGCGGCGUGCUUAACACAUGCAAGUCGAACGGAAAGGCCCUUCGGGGUACUCGAGUGGCGAACGGGUGCGUGACACGUGGGUGAUCUGCCCUGCACUUUGGGAUAAGCCUGGGAAACUGGGUCUAAUACCGAAUAGGACCACGCGCUUCAUGGUGUGUGGUGGAGAGCUUUUGCGGUGUGGGAUGGGCCCGCGGCCUAUCAGCUUGUUGGUGGGGUAGUGGCCUACCAAGGCGACGACGGGUAGCCGGCCUGAGAGGGUGACCGGCCACACUGGGACUGAGAUACGGCCCAGACUCCUACGGGAGGCAGCAGUGGGGAAUAUUGCACAAUGGGCGCAAGCCUGAUGCAGCGACGCCGCGUGAGGGAUGACGGCCUUCGGGUUGUAAACCGCUUUCGAUAGGGACGAAGCGCAAGUGACGGUAACGAGAGAAGAAGCACCGGCCAACUACGUG